rnacentral:lncRNA from 1 species
GGACAUGGCCCCACAGCAGGGAAGAGGAGAAGGGACACCAGGCUGAUAGGGUUUAGCAGGAGAGUCACUCACUCAAGAAAAAUAUUCUUAAAGAUCCUUUUACAAGAAACCUACAAACCUGAUCUCUUUGGCUGUCAUUUUCUCCUCUAAAUUGACCUUUCUCCAUCCUCAGGAAGCAGCUGUAUUAGUGGGCAGCAGAUCUAAACCUCAAAUACAUGAAGAUGCUUGGAUUAUAAUUUGACAGACAGAACACACAUUCUAGAUCACCUAUCUUGAAGACGGCCCCAUGAAUGGACCCAAGUCCUGCUCCUAAUGCAUCUCAUUUCUCUCUGCUCCCAACUCCUUUCUUGAGCACAUCCUAAUAAAGAUCAUCCCAAGGCCACA